rnacentral:sRNA from 1 species
GCAAUGUUGCGUUUGCUUAUUUGAUGU